rnacentral:rRNA from 1 species
UCAUGGCUCAGAUUGAACGCUGGCGGCAGGCCUAACACAUGCAAGUCGAGCGGCAGCGGGAAAGUAGCUUGCUACUUUUGCCGGCGAGCGGCGGACGGGUGAGUAAUGCCUGGGAAAUUGCCCAGUCGAGGGGGAUAACAGUUGGAAACGACUGCUAAUACCGCAUACGCCCUACGGGGGAAAGCAGGGGACCUUCGGGCCUUGCGCGAUUGGAUAUGCCCAGGUGGGAUUAGCUAGUUGGUGAGGUAAUGGCUCACCAAGGCGACGAUCCCUAGCUGGUCUGAGAGGAUGAUCAGCCACACUGGAACUGAGACACGGUCCAGACUCCUACGGGAGGCAGCAGUGGGGAAUAUUGCACAAUGGGGGAAACCCUGAUGCAGCCAUGCCGCGUGUGUGAAGAAGGCCUUCGGGUUGUAAAGCACUUUCAGCGAGGAGGAAAG